ACGCUGGCGGUAGGCCUAACACAUGCCAGUCGAACGGCAGCACAGUAAGAGCUUGCUCUUACGGGUGGCGAGUGGCGGACGGGUGAGGAAUACAUCGGAAUCUACUUUUUCGUGGGGGAUAACGUAGGGAAACUUACGCUAAUACCGCAUACGACCUACGGGUGAAAGCAGGGGAUCUUCGGACCUUGCGCGAUUGAAUGAGCCGAUGUCGGAUUAGCUAGUUGGCGGGGUAAAGGCCCACCAAGGCGACGAUCCGUAGCUGGUCUGAGAGGAUGAUCAGCCACACUGGAACUGAGACACGGUCCAGACUCCUACGGGAGGCAGCAGUGGGGAAUAUUGGACAAUGGGCGCAAGCCUGAUCCAGCCAUACCGCGUGGGUGAAGAAGGCCUUCGGGUUGUAAAGCCCUUUUGUUGGGAAAGAAAAGCAGCAGGUUAAUACCCCGCUGUUCUGACGGUACCCAAAGAAUAAGCACCGGCUAACUUCGUG
rnacentral:rRNA from 1 species